rnacentral:rRNA from 1 species
UACGUAGGGUGCGAGCGUUGUCCGGAAUUAUUGGGCGUAAAGGGCUCGUAGGCGGUUUGUCGCGUCGGGAGUGAAAACCUCGGGCUUAACUCGGGGCUUGCUUUCGAUACGGGCAGACUGGAGGUAUGCAGGGGAGAACGGAAUUCCUGGUGUAGCGGUGAAAUGCGCAGAUAUCAGGAGGAACACCGGUGGCGAAGGCGGUUCUCUGGGCAUGACCUGACGCUGAGGAGCGAAAGUGUGGGGAGCGAGCAGG